AAAAGUUUUUGGCAUCCCUCAGGGCUUGACUGACUCACACUGAGGGAUGCAGAAAAUGUUUGGCAUCCCUCCCCUCCCCCAGCCCCUUAGGGGAGGGCAAGAGAGCUCUGCCCCAGGGCCCCCAGCCAAAGAUUUUGCAGGAAAAUCCAGCGCACUCCAGAGUGACACUGGGCAGCUGUCUACAUACGCGUCCAGCUCUGCUGCCUGGCACUGCCACCACUAGUGUGAGCGGUUCCCUCUGAGGUCACAAGGAGGUGCCAAGCCAUGGGAUUGAUCCUGGGCACCUAGUUUUCAACUUCAGAAGGAAUGAUGCAUGGCUCUUUACACAGCGUUGCUCCAGAAUGUGGAGAAUUCCAGAUGAGACUCAACUUGUUCCAACACAGAAAGAGGAAGUUUAUCACACAAAGAGUAACAACCUCAAAAAACCACUGAAACUAAUGAAUUUAAUUAGAGUCCACAGAAGCUUAUGAUAGAAAUGUCUUUCAUUUAUUCUCAAAGGUGCUACAGGAUUCCAUUAUAUACCUUUCCCCAUAACCAUGGACAAUGAACAGCACUGUUGCAACAGCUCCCUUGGCUGCCAAUCCAUUUCCAGAAACAAUUCAAAGUGCUGAUUUUUACCUAUAAAGCCCUAUAUGGUUUGGAUCCUGGUUAUUUGAAGGACCAUAUUUCCUUUUGUAAGCCUCUUCCCCUCAACCCUCCUGUGCCUUUAGCUGUCUCUGGAAAGUCAUACCUGUUGCUCCUCUUCCUCUGCCCUCCUGUCUCUCAGCAUGCCCUCCAAAAUGGCUUUGCAUGCCAGAGAGGGCACAUGUGCCACAG